rnacentral:rRNA from 1 species
CCUACGGGUGGCAGCAGUGAGGAAUAUUGGUCAAUGGACGCAAGUCUGAACCAGCCAUGCCGCGUGCAGGGAGACGGCUCUAUGAGUUGUACACUGCUUUUGUACGAGGGUAAACGCAGAUACGCGUAUCUGUCUGAAAGUAUCGUACGAAUAAGGAUCGGCUAACUCCUUGCCAGCAGCCGCGGUAAUACGGAGGAUUCAAGCGUUAUCCGGAUUUAUUGGGUUUAAAGGGUGCGUAGGCGGUCGGAUAAGUUAGAGGUGAAAUCCCGAGGCUCAACUUCGGAAUUGCCUCUGAUACGGUUCGGAUAGAGAGUAGUUGCGGUAGGCGGAAUGUAUGGUGUAGCGGGGAAAUGCUUAGAGAUCAUACAGAACACCGAUUGCGAAGGCAGCUUACCAAGCUACUUCUGACGUUGAGGCACGAAAGCGUGGGGAGCAAACAGGAUUAGAUACCCUUGUAGUC